rnacentral:lncRNA from 1 species
AAGAAAAAAGUAAAAUAUAAAGAUCAUCAUGCUUUUAGAAGUAUAGUUAUCUCUCACUCUAUGGACGUGUUUGGUUCGAAGUCGGAAUCGGAAUCAGAAUCGGAAUUGAAAUAAGUUGGAAUCGGAAUCGGAAUGACUCAUUACGUAAUUCUGUUUGGUUCAUCAUCUAAAUCGAAUCGAAAUAAAUAAUUUCCAUUUUCGGUGUUUGGUUCAGGUAAAUAUAAAAAACGUAAUCAGAUUAAUAUAUUAACUUUAUUUUUAUAAUAUAUUAAUUUAAAUUCAAAUUAAAAAUUAAAUAUUAAAAUUUUACAUCAAAAUUUUGAAAUGAUGUCAAAAUUUUAAAUCUAUUUUUAAAAAAAAUUAAACUUUGAAGAGUGGAUAAUUCGAAAUAUAAAACUAAAUUUUGAUUUAUUCAAAUUCAAACUUAAAAUUACAAUUUUAAUUUUAAUUUGAAUCCAUAAAUUUAAUUUAAGUUUUAAAAAAAAUUUGAACAAAACUUUACAUAAAUUAAAAUUUAAUUUAAAUUCAUA